GAGGGACUGGAGGGAGUCGGAGAAAAAGCUGACCUGAUGAAACUGUGGCAACGUCAGCGCUUGAGGCUUGAAGAGGGAGACAAGCUAAAAGAGGAUAUCCAGUUGUUUCAUGAUGGCAUUUGCACCUCCAAAAAACACAGAUGGUCCCAAAAUGCAGACAAAGAUGAGCACCUGGACACCCCUAAACCAUCAGCUAUUGAAUGACCGGGUAUUUGAAGAAAGAAGAGCCCUGCUUGGCAAAUGGGUA
rnacentral:lncRNA from 1 species